rnacentral:rRNA from 1 species
AACGAACGCUGGCGGCAGGCUUAACACAUGCAAGUCGAGCGCCCCGCAAGGGGAGCGGCAGACGGGUGAGCAACGCGUGGGAAUCUACCGUACCCUACGGAAUAGCUCCGGGAAACUGGAAUUAAUACCGUAUACGCCCUACGGGGGAAAGAUUUAUCGGGGUAUGAUGAGCCCGCGUUGGAUUAGCUAGUUGGUGGGGUAAAGGCCUACCAAGGCGACGAUCCAUAGCUGGUCUGAGAGGAUGAUCAGCCACAUUGGGACUGAGACACGGCCCAAACUCCGACGGGGGGCAGCAGUGGGGAAUAUUGGACAAUGGGCGCAAGCCUGAUCCAGCCAUGCCGCGUGAGUGAUGAAGGUCUUAGGAUUGUAAAGCUCUUUCACCGAUGAAGAUAAUGACGGUAGUCGGAGAAGAAGCCCCGGCUAACUUCGUGCCAGCCGCCGCCGUAA